rnacentral:lncRNA from 12 species
CGGGGGUUUGCCACCAUGCCCUCGGCUGCAGCAGGAGCGCACUCAGCUGGCUGCCCAGGACGGGGCAGGAGCUGACCCACCUCCUAGAGCUGCUUCCCCUCCUCCCCACCCCAGCCUGUGAGUCAGAGGAAACCGGAAAGGGAAUAUAAACCGCCCACAGCUCCGGGGCUUACUGGAAAGAACCAUUUAAAUGUCUGGCCUGGAAGUCCUGGGAGAAGAGACCAGCUUGCUGUGCUGGAGGCACCCAGGCAGGUCAGAAUGAAUCAGAAUAAAUCCCUCCUUGGGUACCUGCAGUCCAGUGUUUGCCAGAGGAAAGGAUGUGAGCAGGCCACGUGGGUCAAAUCCAUCAAAUGAAAGAUGCUUCCAAGAUCAGGGGCCCAUGAGUAGCUUGGGGUUGGGGGCAGAAACCCAGGGAUUGGGGUCCCAAGGUAAGAGGUUCCAGCAACACGGAGACUGUG